rnacentral:misc_RNA from 1 species
CUUAUCAGAACCAAAAAUACUAUAAAUGGGUAAGAAACAUACAAGAACUUAAAUUCCAGAAUCCAAUUAAAAAUAGCAAUUGCUGAUCAUUGAAAAAGGUUUUGAAAUCACGCAUUCCUGAUUAAAUUAAAAAAAGCAUAAUCAAAAGUAUUCUAUGAUCUCUGCAAAAUCCUAAGCCAUUGUUUAAAGCUAAUGAGAGAUAUGUUAGAAUAAUAUGUAACCGCCCUAAUCCAUGUGACACCACUUUUUGCUUCUUUCUCUCAGACACAAGAUAAGAAGAAUCUCUCCAUCUCUAUCUGUGUGUUUGUCUCUCUUGCCUCCACAGCCCUCUGUGAAGAGACAUUAGAUUCGGUAAUUAAAAUCAAGAAAGAUUAAUGAAUAAUUAAAUCGAUCAGUUGAAUGAGUAAAGUUUAAAGCUUUCGACAAAGGACAUCGAAACUCUAAUGACACUUAAGUGAAAGGAAACAAAUCAUGCCAUAUAAAAAAGGCAGAAUAAAGCUGCACACAGUAAUGGAGUAACCAAAAGAACCUCAAGAACCAUUAAAACAUAUUAAAGAACUGAAAUUUAAAUUUCUUUUUCCCUUUGGAUCAAUCUCUUCUCUCCCAUGUUACCCUCAACAAAGUGAAGAUCUUCACUAAUUAAACUAAAAAAAGAAAACAAAAAUCAGAAAAUGAAAGAAAAAACUGAAGAGAAAUUAGAAGGAAGUAACAACUACUACCAUGCUUACUCUCUAUAUCUAGCUAACAUUUAUUAUCGUCAUCAAUAUCUUCCCCAUCAAAAGAUCAAGAAGAUGAAGACGACCCAUUAGUGCCGACAUGAUCAAGAUUAUCAUUCUCAAAGAGUUGGUGAUGAUUCACGUUCUCACUGCUGUUAUUGUUGUUGGUGGUGGCGGUGGUCGGGGUGGUGGUGGUGGUAUGGUGGGCGUUUUCAAGAUCAUUGCUUCUAAUACCAUUCCCAUUAGCAUCCCUCUUGCCCAAAGUAUUCUUGUUAUUGUGCAUCCACACUUUCAAGACGCCUUUGUCAACCCCAACUUCAUUGCAGAAUUCUUGAAUCAAUUCUUCAUCCCUUUUCUGUAUCUUCCAUCCUAUACUCUCUGAGAACUGGUACAUUCUCUCUUUCUGGCUCUGGCUAAACUUGGUCCUGAAACGUUUUCUCGCCGAAGAACCACCUGGAACGUUUAUAGUUGAAUUGCCAUUUAAACCUGCAGAUACACCACCUGAGAGCGCCAACAGCAUGUGUGGCGCUGAGGGGUACGAUGAGGAGAUCGGCGGAGGAGAGGCAGAAUUGGGGCUUCGAUAAGGUUGUGGUACUGCUUGUGGAGGUGGGGGCGGAGGAUGGUGACGGUGGUGGGGCUGGUACUCAAUGGUGGUGGUGGUAUUGGCAGGGGGAGGGGAAUCUUCUGGUUCACGGCGGUGGAAGUUGCGGUGGCAACCGCAGGCAGCGCAUUUUAUGGAAGUGGGGUCGUUGUGGUUAGCAAUGGGGGAAGGCAUGAACUCUCCACAGCCAUCUAGAGCAUGACCGCCCAAGGAAGCAGCGUGGUUCUUGAGGCAUUCUUUGUAAGUUACGACUACCGGAGGAGCAGAAAGAUGGUGGUGGUGGUGGUGGUGGGGAUUGUGGCGUUUGAGCACACCGUUGGUGAAAGAUACAGGCUUAGCUGAUUGGAUCCGGGUAGGCGUUUCCGUUUCCUGGUCAGGAGAUUUUGCAGUUGGGGUAUUUGUGUUGGUGAUGGAGGUUGUUGUUGGGGCUAUGUCCAUGGCUCAAACAUUUAAUUGAAGUUUUAAGGAAAAAAAAAUAAAGGAAGUAAAAUAAAGAAUAAAAAAGCAGAAAAGCAAGAAUUUAAGAUUUAUGAAGGUGGAGGGUGGCUUAUGCAAUUAGGGUUUUGUAGAGGUUGGUAGUGAUGUAGGCAGCCAUGGAAGUGAUGGUGGUGGGGUUUGUAAAGGGAAAACGGAUGAUGGGUUUGUAUUUUUGAGGUGGGGUGAGAGAUAGAGACGGAGGAGGGAUAGAAGGUGGUGGAGGAGGAAGAGAAGGUGGUAGAAGAGAAGAAGAAGAGAAUGAUGAUGAUGAUGAUGAUGAGCAGUGAUGACUGUUGAUAAUAAAAAUCUGGGUUUUUGUGGUUGUCCUUCUUAACCUUAACCAAAAUGUGGAUUUUAACCCUAGUUUCAAUAUCCAUGGUUAAGUCACUUGACCCAGCUUUGGGUUUAGAUAUUGUAUAUGUAAUAAAUACGCCAGUAUAGCCAUUGACCCUAU